ensembl:snRNA U6 U6 spliceosomal RNA
GUUCUCACUUUGGCAGCACAUGUACUAAAACUGAAAUGAUACAAAGAAGAUUAGCAUGGCUCCUGCAUAAGAAUGACAUGCAAAUUUGAGAAGGGUUCCCUAUUAAA